GGUGCGUAACACGUAUGCAACCUACCUUCAACUGGGGAAUAGCCCGAAGAAAUUCGGAUUAAUACCCCAUAAUAAUAGAAAUUCGCAUGUUUUUCUAUUUAAAACUCCGGUGGUUGAAGAUGGGCAUGCGUCCUAUUAGUUAGUUGGUGAGGUAACGGCUCACCAAGACUCCGAUAGGUAGGGGUUCUGAGAGGAAGAUCCCCCACACUGGUACUGAGACACGGACCAGACUCCUACGGGAGGCAGCAGUGAGGAAUAUUGGACAAUGGACGAAAGUCUGAUCCAGCCAUGCCGCGUGUAGGAAGACUGCCCUCUGGGUUGUAAACUACUUUUAUAAGGGAAUAAACCCCCGUACGUGUACGGGGCUGAAUGUACCUUAAGAAUAAGCACCGGCUAACUCCGUGCCAGCAGCCGCGGUAAUACGGAGGGUGCAAGCGUUAUCCGGAUUUAUUGGGUUUAAAGGGUCCGUAGGUGGAAUUGUAAGUCAGUGGUGAAAUCUUUCGGCUUAACCGGAAAACUGCCAUUGAUACUGCAGUUCUUGAGUAUGCUCGAGGUAGGCGGAAUAUGUCAUGUAGCGGUGAAAUGCAUAGAUAUGACAUAGAACACCAAUAGCGAAGGCAGCUUACCAGAUCAUAACUGACACUGAGGGACGAAAGCGUGGGGAGCGAACAGGAUUAGAUACCCUGGUAGUGCACGCUCGUAAAUCGAUGAUCACUAGACAUUGGCGACAUACGGUCGGUGUCAAAGCGAAAGUAUUAAGUGAUCCACCUGGGGAGUACGCCGGCAACGGUGAAACUCAAAGGAAUUGACGGGGGCCCGCACAAGCGGUGGAGCAUGUGGUUUAAUUGGAUGAUACGCGAGGAUCCUUACCUGGGGUUAAAUGCAGAACGACCGAUCCGGAAACGGAUCUUUGUUCGGACGGUCUGCAAGUUGUUGCAUGGUUGUCGUCAGCUCGUGCGGUGAGGUGUCGGGUUAAGUCCCAUAACGAGCGCAUCCCCUAUCGUUAGUUGCCAGCGGAUAAUGCCGGGGACUCUAACGAAACUGCCCGUGCAAGCGGAGAGGAAGGUGGGGAUGACGUCAAAUCAUCACGGCCCUUACGUCCAGGGCUACACACGUGCUACAAUGGCGCAUAUCAAAGGGCAGCUACCACGCGAGUGGAUGCUAAUCUCUAAAGUGCGUCU
rnacentral:rRNA from 1 species